ACUCUGCUUUCUUUGAAGUCAGUCUGAAGUUGUUUAUCCAUAAACGUUAAAACUUUCAACAACGGAUCUCUUGGUUCUCGCAUCGAUGAAGAACGCAGCGAAAUGCGAUAAGUAGUGUGAAUUGCAGAAUUCAGUGAAUCAUCGAAUCUUUGAACGCACAUUGCGCCCUCUGGUAUUCCGGGGGGCAUGCCUGUUCGAGCGUCAUCAAAACUCCUCAGGUGUUGGUUCCGUACCAACACCUGGUCAUGGAAUUGGAGGUGCAUUGUACCUCCUUUCCGAAAUCCAGUGGCGAAUUGAGCAUGCCGUAGACGUAGUAACACAUACCCGUUAGCAACAUGUUCACAUUCCGCCAUAACCCCCUCCAUUAUCUAGUUUGACCUCGGAUCAGGUAGGGAUACCCGCUGAAC
rnacentral:rRNA from 1 species